CCGUCAUGUACGAGAUCUUCUAGAAGUAAGGGCACCACAAGAACGCGUGGAGCAUGUGGCUUAAUUUGACUCAACGCGGGAAAUCUUACCGGGUCCGGACACACUGAGGAUUGACAGGCACUAUACGGCACCACACUCACUCUGUGCGCGUGGUACCGUAGCUAAAUAUGCUAGUCCUUUCAUGAUUAUGUGAUAGGUGGUGCAUGGCCGUUCUUAGUUCGUGGAGUGAUCUGUCUGCUUAAUUGCGUUUCGCUAAAGGAUCUUACAGGGCACAGCUUCUGGUGUGCUAUAGCUAUGCUACGCCUCACCGGUCUUACAGCUCAGCGGUCAGUGCGUCUUAGGCUAAGCCUCGGAUGCUUCUUAAGCUCAGCUAGACCAUACGUGGAGCUAUAUGGCUCACUCGCUAGGGGCACUAUAUGUGAACUUCUGAUCCUGAAAGCAACGAACGUGACCGCAACCUCUUGUUGUGCUAGCUCUAUAGCACAGCACAAACUAGAGGGACCGCUGUUACUUUUCUUAAACCAGAGGAAGGUUGCGGCAAUAACAGGUCUGUGAUGCCCUUCGAUGUUCCGGGCUGCACACGUGCUACAAUGAUCAUUGCAGUGAGCAUCUCUGUUUUUCACUUAUAGCUUGGUGAUAAUUCAUUAUCUCUGAACUAGGUCUACCCCUUACACGGCUCUACGCUAUAGUGGCGCUCUGUUCUAACUCUGGGACUACACCCUCUUGGCUUCGGUCAUACGUAUGAGGGCUGUACCUGGUCUAGUUCAGAUAUGGAGUACCGCAUCAGCCGUCUGAGCCUUCGUGGGGUGACCUUAGCCUACCUCGAGACGUAUGCUUAGGGUAAUCAAUUACAAGUCAUGAUUUUCCAAUAUCACACACUGAUAUACGGCGUCCUAGUGGACGGCACUGCACUCUUGUGCGGUGCUAGCUCUAUCUGAGAUGUUCUUUAACCGUAUGUGCGAUUGUCAAUUCAUGGUGGGAACAGACCAUUGUUAACUGUUGGUCUCGGUCGUAACUAGGAAUGCCUUGUACGGGUCUUAGUUCAACAGACUACCCGGAAUACGUCCCUGCCCUUUGUUCACACCGCCCGUCGCUCUUGGCGAUGGACUUCACUGUGAGUUGCCCGAACUGGGCGCACCCACCU
rnacentral:rRNA from 1 species